GGUUAAGCGACUAAGCGUACACGGUGGAUGCCCUGGCAGUCAGAGGCGAUGAAGGACGUGCUAAUCUGCGAUAAGCGUCGGUAAGGUGAUAUGAACCGUUAUAACCGGCGAUUUCCGAAUGGGGAAACCCAGUGUGAUUCGUCACACUAUCAUUAACUGAAUCCAUAGGUUAAUGAGGCGAACCGGGGGAACUGAAACAUCUAAGUACCCCGAGGAAAAGAAAUCAACCGAGAUUCCCCCAGUAGCGGCGAGCGAACGGGGAGCAGCCCAGAGCCUGAAUCAGUGUGUGUGUUAGUGGAAGCGUCUGGAAAGGCGUGCGAUACAGGGUGACAGCCCCGUACACAAAAAUGCACAUGCUGUGAGCUCGAUGAGUAGGGCGGGACACGUGGUAUCCUGUCUGAAUAUGGGGGGACCAUCCUCCAAGGCUAAAUACUCCUGACUGACCGAUAGUGAACCAGUACCGUGAGGGAAAGGCGAAAAGAACCCCGGCGAGGGGAGUGAAAAAGAACCUGAAACCGUGUACGUACAAGCAGUGGGAGCACAGAGCAAUCUGUGUGACUGCGUACCUUUUGUAUAAUGGGUCAGCGACUUAUAUUCUGUAGCAAGGUUAACCGAAUAGGGGAGCCGAAGGGAAACCGAGUCUUAACUGGGCGUUAAGUUGCAGGGUAUAGACCCGAAACCCGGUGAUCUAGCCAUGGGCAGGUUGAAGGUUGGGUAACACUAACUGGAGGACCGAACCGACUAAUGUUGAAAAAUUAGCGGAUGACUUGUGGCUGGGGGUGAAAGGCCAAUCAAACCGGGAGAUAGCUGGUUCUCCCCGAAAGCUAUUUAGGUAGCGCCUCGUGAAUUCAUCUCCGGGGGUAGAGCACUGUUUCGGCAAGGGGGUCAUCCCGACUUACCAACCCGAUGCAAACUGCGAAUACCGGAGAAUGUUAUCACGGGAGACACACGGCGGGUGCUAACGUCCGUCGUGAAGAGGGAAACAACCCAGACCGCCAGCUAAGGUCCCAAAGUCAUGGUUAAGUGGGAAACGAUGUGGGAAGGCCCAGACAGCCAGGAUGUUGGCUUAGAAGCAGCCAUCAUUUAAAGAAAGCGUAAUAGCUCACUGGUCGAGUCGGCCUGCGCGGAAGAUGUAACGGGGCUAAACCAUGCACCGAAGCUGCGGCAGCGACACUAUGUGUUGUUGGGUAGGGGAGCGUUCUGUAAGCCUGUGAAGGUGUACUGUGAGGUAUGCUGGAGGUAUCAGAAGUGCGAAUGCUGACAUAAGUAACGAUAAAGCGGGUGAAAAGCCCGCUCGCCGGAAGACCAAGGGUUCCUGUCCAACGUUAAUCGGGGCAGGGUGAGUCGACCCCUAAGGCGAGGCCGAAAGGCGUAGUCGAUGGGAAACAGGUUAAUAUUCCUGUACUUGGUGUUACUGCGAAGGGGGGACGGAGAAGGCUAUGUUGGCCGGGCGACGGUUGUCCCGGUUUAAGCGUGUAGGCUGGUUUUCCAGGCAAAUCCGGAAAAUCAAGGCUGAGGCGUGAUGACGAGGCACUACGGUGCUGAAGCAACAAAUGCCCUGCUUCCAGGAAAAGCCUCUAAGCAUCAGGUAACAUCAAAUCGUACCCCAAACCGACACAGGUGGUCAGGUAGAGAAUACCAAGGCGCUUGAGAGAACUCGGGUGAAGGAACUAGGCAAAAUGGUGCCGUAACUUCGGGAGAAGGCACGCUGAUAUGUAGGUGAAGUCCCUCGCGGAUGGAGCUGAAAUCAGUCGAAGAUACCAGCUGGCUGCAACUGUUUAUUAAAAACACAGCACUGUGCAAACACGAAAGUGGACGUAUACGGUGUGACGCCUGCCCGGUGCCGGAAGGUUAAUUGAUGGGGUCAGCGCAAGCGAAGCUCUUGAUCGAAGCCCCGGUAAACGGCGGCCGUAACUAUAACGGUCCUAAGGUAGCGAAAUUCCUUGUCGGGUAAGUUCCGACCUGCACGAAUGGCGUAAUGAUGGCCAGGCUGUCUCCACCCGAGACUCAGUGAAAUUGAACUCGCUGUGAAGAUGCAGUGUACCCGCGGCAAGACGGAAAGACCCCGUGAACCUUUACUAUAGCUUGACACUGAACAUUGAGCCUUGAUGUGUAGGAUAGGUGGGAGGCUUUGAAGUGUGGACGCCAGUCUGCAUGGAGCCGACCUUGAAAUACCACCCUUUAAUGUUUGAUGUUCUAACGUUGACCCGUGAUCCGGGUUGCGGACAGUGUCUGGUGGGUAGUUUGACUGGGGCGGUCUCCUCCUAAAGAGUAACGGAGGAGCACGAAGGUUGGCUAAUCCUGGUCGGACAUCAGGAGGUUAGUGCAAUGGCAUAAGCCAGCUUGACUGCGAGCGUGACGGCGCGAGCAGGUGCGAAAGCAGGUCAUAGUGAUCCGGUGGUUCUGAAUGGAAGGGCCAUCGCUCAACGGAUAAAAGGUACUCCGGGGAUAACAGGCUGAUACCGCCCAAGAGUUCAUAUCGACGGCGGUGUUUGGCACCUCGAUGUCGGCUCAUCACAUCCUGGGGCUGAAGUAGGUCCCAAGGGUAUGGCUGUUCGCCAUUUAAAGUGGUACGCGAGCUGGGUUUAGAACGUCGUGAGACAGUUCGGUCCCUAUCUGCCGUGGGCGCUGGAGAACUGAGGGGGGCUGCUCCUAGUACGAGAGGACCGGAGUGGACGCAUCACUGGUGUUCGGGUUGUCAUGCCAAUGGCACUGCCCGGUAGCUAAAUGCGGAAGAGAUAAGUGCUGAAAGCAUCUAAGCACGAAACUUGCCCCGAGAUGAGUUCUCCCUGACUCCUUGAGAGUCCUGAAGGAACGUUGAAGACGACGACGUUGAUAGGCCGGGUGUGUAAGCGCAGCGAUGCGUUGAGCUAACCGGUACUAAUGAACCGUGAGGCUUAACCUU
rnacentral:rRNA from 1 species